AGUCGAACGAUGAACUCCGCUUGCGGGGGGAUUAGUGGCGAACGGGUGAGUAACACGUGAGUAACCUGCCCUUAACUCUGGGAUAAGCCUGGGAAACUGGGUCUAAUACUGGAUAUUGACUUUACCUCGCAUGGGGUUUGGUUGAAAGCUUUUGUGGUUUUGGAUGGACUCGCGGCCUAUCAGCUUGUUGGUGAGGUAAUGGCUCACCAAGGCGACGACGGGUAGCCGGCCUGAGAGGGUGACCGGCCACACUGGGACUGAGACACGGCCCAGACUCCUACGGGAGGCAGCAGUGGGGAAUAUUGCACAAUGGGCGAAAGCCUGAUGCAGCGACGCCGCGUGAGGGAUGACGGCCUUCGGGUUGUAAACCUCUUUCAGUAGGGAACAAGGCUACACGUUGUGUGGUUGAGGGUACCUGCAGAAGAAGCGCCGGCUAACUACGUGCCAGCAGCCGCGGUAAUACGUAGGGCGCAAGCGUUAUCCGGAAUUAUUGGGCGUAAAGAGCUCGUAGGCGGUUUGUCGCGUCUGCCGUGAAAGUCCGGGGCUCAACCCCGGAUCUGCGGUGGGUACGGGCAGACUAGAGUGAUGUAGGGGAGACUGGAAUUCCUGGUGUAGCGGUGAAAUGCGCAGAUAUCAGGAGGAACACCGAUGGCGAAGGCAGGUCUCUGGGCAUUAACUGACGCUGAGGAGCGAAAGCAUGGGGAGCGAACAGGAUUAGAUACCCUGGUAGUCCAUGCCGUAAACGUUGGGCACUAGGUGUGGGGGACAUUCCACGUUUUCCGCGCCGUAGCUAACGCAUUAAGUGCCCCGCCUGGGGAGUACGGCCGCAAGGCUAAAACUCAAAGGAAUUGACGGGGGCCCGCACAAGCGGCGGAGCAUGCGGAUUAAUUCGAUGCAACGCGAAGAACCUUACCAAGGCUUGACAUGAACUGGAAACACUCAGAGAUGAGUGCCCCGCUUGCGGUCGGUUUACAGGUGGUGCAUGGUUG
rnacentral:rRNA from 1 species